rnacentral:rRNA from 2 species
UGGGGAAUAUUGGGCAAUGGGCGAAAGCCUGACCCAGCAACGCCGCGUGAGGGAAGAAGGUCUUCGGAUUGUAAACCUCUGUCCUCAGGGACGAAAAAAAUGACGGUACCUGAGGAGGAAGCCCCGGCUAACUACGUGCCAGCAGCCGCGGUAAUACGUAGGGGGCGAGCGUUGUCCGGAAUUACUGGGCGUAAAGGGUGCGUAGGCGGUUUCUUAAGUCAGAUGUGAAAUCCCCGGGCUUAACUCGGGUGGUGCAUUUGAAACUGGGAGGCUAGAGUGCAGGAGAGGGAAGCGGAAUUCCUAGUGUAGCGGUGAAAUGCGUAGAUAUUAGGAGGAACACCAGUGGCGAAGGCGGCUUUCUGGACUGUAACUGACGCUGAUGCACGAAAGCGUGGGGAGCAAACAGG